GCUGGGCGUGGUGGCACAAGCCUGUAGUCCCAGCUACUCGGGAGGCUGAGAUGGGAGGAUCGCUUGAGCCCAGGAGUGCUGGGCUGUAGUGCGCUAUGCCUAUCGGGUGUCCUCGCUAAGUUCAGCAUCAAUAUGGUGACCUCCCGGGAGCGGGGGUGCGGUGUGAGGUGGGAGACCACCAGGUUGCCUAAGGAGGGGUGAAUGGCCCGGGUCGGAAACAGAGCAGGUCAAAACUCCUGCUGAUCAGUAGUGGGAUCGUGCCUGUGAAUAGCCACUGCAUUCCAGCCUGGGCAAUAUAGCAAGACCCCCAUCACU
rnacentral:SRP_RNA from 1 species